rnacentral:ribozyme from 1 species
AUGUGCCCGAGUUCACAGGGGUCUACCAGAAGUACUCCACGGCAGAUGCGCGUGCGGGAAGGCAUUCAGAUCAGUCGGACGCGGACACCAUUCUCGAUCGGCACUAUCAUGAUAGCAAAAUUCAAACGCUGGCACACCACCAGAGUGCUGAAACCGACGAAGUGGAUGCAAGAUCGUACGUCGAUCUCGAUCUAAAAUUCUGGCCGAGUACUCUUUCAGUCGAAAAGAAGUCGCUACUUCUGUCAGUGGCCC